rnacentral:lncRNA from 1 species
ACCGCCAGUCGCCAUUGCUCACUGCUCUGCUCAGCGCUCCAUGUCGUGCCCCAAAUUCCGUGACUCAUCUUCCUUCUCUUUGCCAGGCUGCGCGUGCAUACCACGGACGGACGCACUGCCCCCAAUCUACUGGUUUUGCUGUUCGGAGUUGGCACUCGUUUUUCAUUUUCAAUAUCCGCUUGUUAUAUUGUAAACUUGUGAUCAACUUGUUAUAUUGUGAACUUGUGAUAUGUGAGAUUAAUUUUUUAUAUUGUGAACUUGUGAUCUAUG